GUGUUUGCUUUGGCAACACAUGUGCUAAAAUUGGAACGAUACAGAGAAGACUAGCAUGGCCCCUGUGCAAGGAUGACACACAAAUUCGUGAAGCGUUCCAUAUUAAA
ensembl:snRNA U6 U6 spliceosomal RNA